GACGGAGGGUGCUAGCGUUGUUCGGAAUGACUGGGCGUAAAGGGCGCGUAGGCGGCCGCUUGCGUCGGAUGUGAAAGCCCGGGGCUCAACCCCGGAACGGCAUCCGAUACGGGGCGGCUCGAGACCGAGAGAGGUGAGUGGAAUACCCAGUGUAGAGGUGAAAUUCGUAGAUAUUGGGUGGAACACCGGUGGCGAAAGCGGCUCACUGGCUCGGUUCUGACGCUGAGGUGCGAAAGCGUGGGGAGCAAACAGGG
rnacentral:rRNA from 1 species